rnacentral:rRNA from 1 species
GUAGGUGGCAAGCGUUGUCCGGAAUUAUUGGGCGUAAAGCGCGCGCAGGCGGUUCUUUAAGUCUGAUGUGAAAGCCCACGGCUCAACCGUGGAGGGUCAUUGGAAACUGGAGAACUUGAGUACAGAAGAGGAAAGCGGAAUUCCACGUGUAGCGGUGAAAUGCGUAGAGAUGUGGAGGAACACCAGAGGCGAAGGCGGCUUUCUGGUCUGUAACUGACGCUGAGGCGCGAAAGCGUGGGGAGCAAACAGGGAUUGGAUACCCUGGUAGUCCACGCCGUAAACGAUGAGUGCUAAGUGUUAGGGGGUUUCCGCCCCCUUAGUGCUGCAGCUAACGCAUUAAGCACUCCGCCUGGGGAGUACGGCCGCAAGGCUG